UUUUCUGUUUUUCUGUGCAGUAUCUCCAGUGCCCAGGUAAAAGCCUAGCACGUAGUAGGUGCUCAGUAAAUAUUUGUUGAAAGAGUGAAUGAAACUAGCUUCCCUCUGCUUCCUUCCAUUCCCAACUCUGAGACUAACGGCUGAGCACUGUCCUCAGAUGGGAUCUACCAACCAUUGUAAGACUUUGGACAUGUGAAAGUGUUGGAGAAAAGCCACAUUUCUGUACUCGACCCUGUCUACCCAACUUCUUUUUCAAUGGGCGCUGGAAAAAAUGCAGGUCAGACCGUGUACAGACCAUCAUGAGGAGAAGUUUAGCCUUUGUCCUCACCAUCUUUGCUGGAUCAGGGGAUGGGGAGAAACAAAACCAAAAUGUGGAAAAGCAGAAAGGCUAGACUAGGUUUUUAUAAUUAUCACCUUUUAGGAGUAUUUUUCUUGUUUAAAAAAUAAUACUGAUUUUUCUGGGAAAAGAAAAAAACUAUCCAUGGAAAACUGUCCUUCUAACCAAAAUGGUGAGAAGGCAGGUAUAAAAAUGGAGAAGGCAGGUGUGAAGAUGGGGGGCAGGUGUGAAGAUGGGGGGCAGGUGUGAAGGGGGGCAGGUGUGAAGAUGGGAAGCAGGUGUGAAGAGGGGGGGCAGGUGUGAAGAUGGGGGUCAGGUGUGAAGAGCGGGGGCAGGUGUGAAGAGGGGG